rnacentral:rRNA from 1 species
AGCAGCCGCGGUAAUUCCAGCUCCAAUAGCGUAUAUUAAAGUUGUUGCAGUUAAAAAGCUCGUAGUUGAAUUUCGGGAUCAAUGCGUCGGUCGUGCCUUCGGUACGUACUAGCGUCAUUGAUUCCUCCCUUCUGAAGAACCGUGAUGUCAUUAAUUUGGUGUUACGGGGAAUCAGGACUGUUACCUUGAAAAAUUAGAGUGUUUAAAGCAGGCUAACGCUUGAAUACAUUAGCAUGGAAUAAUGAAAUAGGACGUUCGAACCUAUUUUGUUGGUUUCUAGGAUCGGCGUAAUGAUUAAUAGGGAUAGUUGGGGGCAUUAGUAUUCAAUUGUCAGAGGUGAAAUUCUUGGAUUUAUUGAAGACUAACUACUGCGAAAGCAUUUGCCAAGGAUGUUUUCAUUAAUCAAGAACGAAAGUUAGGGGGUCGAAGACGAUCAGAUACCGUCGUAGUCUUAACCAUAAACUAUGCCGACUAGGGAUCGGAUGAUGUUAAUUUUUUAAUGACUCAUUCGGCGCCUUAC